UUUUGUCUCUUGUGUAUGUUAGGAGAUGGAUGUAAGACCAACGAUUGGCAUUCCGUAUCCUAUUGUUGUGUGCUUGGAGUCCGAUGUAAGUCCAUUGAUUGGCAUUUGGUUUCUAGUGUGGGUUUGUUGGUUCGGAGUCUGAUGUAAGUCCAGCAAUUGGCAUUCGGUUUCCAUGUUUACCUGUUUGUGUGGAGUUUGACGUAAGUCCAGCGAUUGGCAGUCGAUUUCCUCUGUGGUUUGGUUUGGCGUGCGUUAG
rnacentral:lncRNA from 1 species